rnacentral:rRNA from 1 species
CUCAACCCCGGAAGUGCUGCUGAAACUGUUUAGCUUGAGUAUGGUAGAGGGAAGCGGAAUUCCUGGUGUAGCGGUGAAAUGCGUAGAUAUCAGGAGGAACACCGGUGGCGAAGGCGGCUUCCUGGACCAAUACUGACGCUGAGGCGCGAAGGCGUGGGUAGCAAACAGGAUUAGAUACCCUGGUAGUCCACGCAGUAAACGGUGAUCACUAGGUGUUGCGGGUAUUGAUACCUGCAGUGCCGAAGCCAACGCAUUAAGUGAUCCGCCUGGGGAGUACGGUCGCAAGAUUAAAACUCAAAGGAAUUGACGGGGGCCCGCACAAGCGGUGGAGCAUGUGGUCUAAUUCGACGCAACGCGAAGAACCUUACCUGGGUUUGACAUCUGGGGAAUGCCAUGGAAACAUGGCAGUGCCCUUCGGGGAGCCC